UUAUCUGUAACUUUGACCCAGAAAGGCCUUUGGUUGACGCCCCCUUCACGGCAUUCUCUUUUAUUAUUUUUAUUUUUUGACACAAGAGAACCUUUACUGCAGAUAAAAUAAGAAUAAGUGUGGCCAGCCCCAUUCACUCACAAAGCUAUAUUAAGCCACAUUAAAAUAUUCUUAGAUUAACUAGUUUCUAUUUGGGAACCUCCAAGGCCUGAGUUCCACAACCUAGUUGGUGCACCAUUGGUUUUCGAAAUUCUCAAGUAAUUCUUCAUUUUUAUUGGGUGCCUUCUUGAUCUUUGCUUGUAUCAACAAUCAUGCAAUCCUUCUAUAGUCAACUACCCUUAGCUACAUUUUAUUGUAUAUCUCUUCUUUAUUCCAAUGUCUCCCAUUGAACGCUACACCAUUCUAUUCAAUCCAUAAGUUCUAUGUAAUAAUCCCUCAUAGCAGCAACUAUUGUCUACUAACACUUCUGAAUCUCUGAGGUAUCCUAUGAGCAAAGAUUCUUUGCUUCCAAGUCAGUCUGUGAUCUUCCGCUCUUGAGCCAUUGAUUUGUGAAAAGUUAUUUGUAGGACUUUUCCUAUGGCCGCUAUUGAGUCUGUAGUCAAUUGCAAAGAUAGAAGCACCUCCAUUGUCUGUUAUUCCCAUGGAUCUACACCUGCAAACUGGUCAAUUGAUUAACAUAAAGAUGUCAACAUUCACUAAUCUUUCCAAAAUUAUACUUUCCCAUUUUCAUGCAUGAAUAGUAGAUGCAAAACGGUUGUCUCAUAAGAUCAACGAUGAUGUGUAUUUUGGAUCACUAUGAUGGAGUAUUUUGGACCGGUGGAGACAUCCACAUCAGUGGCGAUAAGCAUCAAAACUGUCAAGUACGUCUACCUCGUUGUGCUAACGAAGUCGUCCCAAGUGCUAACAGUGUAUUGUGUACCCAAGUUCUUGCCUCAAGUCGUCGACGGAACGGCCCUCCUCUCCCGGUAGAACGGAGACUGUAUAUUGAAGACAUCAGAAAACGCCUCUUUCAGACUCCAGACUCCUCGAAUGCGAGUUCAGCUUCUACUGAAGUUUAUACAGCCGUGCAUGUGGAACUUCCAGUGGUUACCCACAGCACGCACGAAGAUAGUUCAUUCUGGAGGGACAGCCGCUCAAAAAAGACUCAACCUUUGAGGCUUCACAAUAUAACAGACAUGCAGAUCGACAAAGAAAAGGUCGGACAGUCCACUUCGGAGGUGAUCGGACUACUGUAUGCUCGAAGGAUUUGGAGGGAGCAGCAGGGGUACGCGGAUCCCUCACAACACAUGUGAAUGCGCAUCCACAAAGAUUCCAGGAUCUAGGCAGAAUUCGCAGUAUCACAAUACAUCGCCGUGCAAAGAGAGAGGAUCAACUCACGUUGGAAGUUCCCAUCAAGCGACUCGUCAACCACUGGCAGUGCACUGCAAGGCACAUGAUUAACUUGAGAUCGAUAAGGUUUUUCCACAAGAGGAAUGCAAGCAUCGUCCGCCACCCAUCACUCUUCAGAACUUCCUAGACACAAUAACGGAGAGGGAGGGGAAAAAUUGUACCAUCAUGAUGAAUGUUAGUGAAGAGGCUUCACACCAAUACGCUGAGCCACGGAAUCUGAGAACGGAUCCGAAGCUUGGAAUUCACGUGACUUGAAGUGCACAUUGCCGAGCUUGAAGGUUUCACCUCUUACACACCCAGAGGGCCACCAGAAGCACAAGUUGACACCCCUCUACCCGCCGUAUCCAGGCGAACUCAUCUUUCGUGUUCCAGUGCAUGUUCAACAAGCCUUUUCUCCUUUUCAUUCCAGCGAGUAUUUCCUUCAACAAGUGAGGUUAACUGCUCUCCUCCUGCCUUGUGCACGGGGAAGACCGGCACCACUCUUGUGAAGCUAAAGACAACCGCGCCACCAAAGCCUCUUCCUCCAGGUUUUCACAGUGCCAACAACAACAUAAAACCAGAGCAGAUCACCCCAGGGGUAACCCCCCAGAAACUCUACUCCACUUGCAUCUCCUCCGUUGGUGAGGUCUUUCGGCAGAAAUGUCGUGGGGUGCCUUCGCUCGCUCGCUGCCAUCUCCCUGUACCCAGAAAAGGAUUCCGUGGCCAGGACUGCUUCGGCGCAGGAAACGAUUGUAAAGAUGCGCAUCAACUACAGUGAAAGAGAUUGGAUAUGGGUCUAUUUACGCCGUGUACG
rnacentral:lncRNA from 1 species